rnacentral:rRNA from 1 species
AUUCCUACGGGAGGCAGCAGUGGGGAAUUUUGGGCAAUGGGGGCAACCCUGACCCAGCAACGCCGCGUGGAGGACGAAGGUUUUCGGACUGUAAACUCCUGUCCGGAGGGAAGAAGGAAGUGACGGUACCUCUGGAGGAAGCCCCGGCUAACUCCGUGCCAGCAGCCGCGGUAAUACGGGGGGGGCGAGCGUUGUUCGGAAUUACUGGGCGUAAAGGGCGCGUAGGCGGCUUGGGAAGUCAUGGGUGAAAGUCCCCGGCUCAACCGAGGAACUGCCUUUGAAACUGCUUGGCUUGAGGCCGGGAGAGGGUAGCGGAAUUCCCAGUGUAGCGGUGAAAUGCGUAGAGAUUGGGAGGAACACCGGAGGCGAAGGCGGCUUUCUGGACAGACACUGACGCUGAGGCGCGAAAGCCAGGGGAGCAAACGGGAUUAGAUACCCCGGUAGUCCUGGCUGUAAACGAUGAACACUGGGUGUGGGAGGUGUCAAGAGCCUUCCGUGCCGAAGAAAACUCAUUAAGUGUUCCGCCUGGGGAGUACGGCCGCAAGGCUGAAACUCAAAGGAAUUGACGGGGGCCCGCACAAGCGGUGGAGCAUGUGGUUUAAUUCGACGCAACGCGAAGAACCUUACCGGGGUUUGAACUGACCGGGCGACCUCUGGAGACAGGGGGUUCCUUCGGGACCGGGUCAGAGGUGCUGCAUGGCUGUCGUCAGCUCGUGUCGUGAGAUGUUGGGUUAAGUCCCGCAACGAGCGCAACCCUUGUCUGUAGUUGCCAUCAUGUGAAGCUGGGCACUCUACGGAGACUGUCGCGAACCUGAGGAACGUGGGAU